ensembl:lncRNA
AACAGAGGUUCAGAGUGGCUACAAAACUUGUCUCAAGUCCAGUUAGUAACAGAAGUGAUCUGAUUACUGAUCCCCUUGAUAAGAGAUAAACUGAGGAAAGUGUGUAUAAAGGAAACAAUGUUCCAGCCGGAAGACCCACAGUGAACAGGAAGAAGAGCGCGUGGGUGUGGAGGGGCAGAUGGAGAACGCCAAGCCAGGCACUGUCAUUGCCAGGCACUAUCCUUGAAUGUUGGAGAAGGAAACGGCAGUCCACUCCAGUAUUCUUGCCUGGAGAAUUCCAUGGACAAGGGAGCCUGGUGGGCAUAUCCUUGAAGGUGGAGGAGUUGGGGGGAAAGUCUUGGUCCAUGACUUCACAGAAUUUACAGGUCAGUGAGGGAAAGAGGAAAUAAACCAGUGCCUGCACCCAUGAACUUGGCUAAACGUUUGAAGGAAAGAGUGGGCACCAUAGGAUGUAAUAAUAAGGGAUCAACUGUUGUUUUAAGAUUCUUUUUUUGAUGUGGACCAUUUUUAAUGUCUUUAUUGAAUUUGCUGCUAAGUCACUUCAGUCGGGUCAAACUCUGUGCUACCCCAUGGAUGGCAGCGCACCAGGCUCCCCCGUCCCUGGGAUUCUCCAGGCAUGUGGGAUCUUACCUCCCAGACCAGAGAUGGAACCUGCACCCCCUGCAUUGGAAGGUGAAGUCUUAACCGUUGGACCACCAGGAAGGUCCCAAGGGAUCCACUUUAGAUUGGAUGUCCAGAGGUCAUUCUGUGGAUAUACAUUUCAGCUGAGCCAGCCAAGUGGAUGAUGCAAAAUCAGCCUUCCAGAGAGAGGCAGAGCAUGGACAAAGGCC